rnacentral:rRNA from 1 species
UGGGGAAUAUUGCACAAUGGGCGCAAGCCUGAUGCAGCAACGCCGCGUGAGGGAUGACGGCCUUCGGGUUGUAAACCUCUUUUAGCAGGGAAGAAGCGAAAGUGACGGUACCUGCAGAAAAAGCACCGGCUAACUACGUGCCAGCAGCCGCGGUAAUACGUAGGGUGCAAGCGUUGUCCGGAAUUAUUGGGCGUAAAGAGCUCGUAGGCGGUCUGUCGCGUCUGCUGUGAAAUCCCGAGGCUCAACCUCGGGCCUGCAGUGGGUACGGGCAGACUAGAGUGCGGUAGGGGAGAAUGGAACUCCUGGUGUAGCGGUGGAAUGCGCAGAUAUCAGGAAGAACACCGAUGGCGAAGGCAGUUCUCUGGGCCGUAACUGACGCUGAGGAGCGAAAGCGUGGGGAGCGAACAGGAUUAGAUACCCUGGUAGUCCACGCCGUAAACGUUGGGCGCUAGAUGUGGGGCACCAUUCCACGGUUUCCGUGUCGCAGCUAACGCAUUAAGCGCCCGCCUGGGGAGUACGGCCGCAAGGCU